rnacentral:lncRNA from 1 species
UUCAAUUGUGAAACUGCCAAAGCGGAAAUUGAAACCACCUGAUGAUUGAUCCAGUUUCAGGGAAGUUCUGUUAGUUUUCUUUCGUUUUUAUUUUAUUUUAGUUCUUUUUCUUUUUCUUGCCUUUUAUGCUUUCUUUGUCUUUGUGUUUUUGUUGUUAGUUUUCCCCACACAAUGAGGACAUUGUGUUGUCUAAGUGUGGGGGAGUUUUUGUGUCUUUUGUCUUGAGUUUGUGUGCUCGUUUUAUUUUGGGGUGUCUUUUUGUGUUUGUUGGUCUAUGGCAACUUUUCAUGCGAGCAUUUUGAUUUGUUAGGAUGAGCAUAUUGAUAUGGAUUGUAUGGUUGUUUUCUUGGAUGAUAUGAAAAUGUGUU